CGGGUGAGUAACGCGUGAGUAACCUGCCCUGGAGUGGGGGACAACAGUUGGAAACGACUGCUAAUACCGCAUAAGCCCACGGAUCCGCAUGGAUCUGCGGGAAAAGGAUUUAUUCGCUUCAGGAUGGACUCGCGUCCAAUUAGCUAGUUGGUGAGGUAACGGCCCACCAAGGCGACGAUUGGUAGCCGGACUGAGAGGUUGAACGGCCACAUUGGGACUGAGACACGGCCCAG
rnacentral:rRNA from 1 species